rnacentral:lncRNA from 1 species
UGGUUGUUGGUUGUUUUUAUACGGGUGCAAUAAAUAAUGUGUGACUAAAAUGAACGUUGUAAGUCAUUCGUCAUUCCAUCCGUAUGUGGUUGGAAGAUUUACCUACUUUUUUUAACAAACCUUAACAUGCUUAACAAAAUUCUCUUACGUCGAUUUGCUGAGCACCUAUUUUCUGCCUUUCAGCCUGAAUUAUUUGUGGGUUAUGUUCUUUUUUUAUAUCAUCUUUUGUAAAGAGUGUGGUAAAAAUGAGAGAUAAUCUAUAAUGUGUGCCAUGCUUCCGAUUGAGAGACCCAUUAGUAUCAUACGACUCUUUUAUGACGUAGGUUGGUUCCCUCUGUAAAAUAUCAAGUAUGCCUUCGGAAUAUAUAAAUACUGAGAUCGGUGUUACGUGUCGAUUGUCUUUAUAGUAGUUGUACAUGAUUUUGUCCUUUGUGACAAUUUGUGAUUAGUCAAUCUUUUUUAAACAUAUUUAAAACAUAUUCUUAUGGUGAGCUUUUACACUACUAACCCCAGUCAGUGGUUUUGAACUCUCA